rnacentral:rRNA from 1 species
AAGCGUGCGCAGGCGGUUUUGUAAGACUGUCGUGAAAUACCCCGGGCUCAACCUGGGAAUGGCGAUGGUGACUGCAAGGCUAGAGUUUGGCAGAGGGGGGUAGAAUUCCACGUGUAGCAGUGAAAUGCGUAGAUAUGUGGAGGAACACCGAUGGCGAAGGCAGCCCCCUGGGUCAAAACUGACGCUCAUGCACGAAAGCGUGGGGAGCAAACAGGAUUAGAUACCCUAGU